rnacentral:rRNA from 1 species
CUGCGANUGGCUCAUUAUAUAAGUUAUCGUUUAUUUGAUAGUACCUUACUACUUGGAUAACCGUGGUAAUUCUAGAGCUAAUACAUGCUAAAAAUCCCGACUUCGGAAGGGAUGUAUUUAUUAGAUACAAAACCAAUGCCCCUCGGGGCUCUCUGGUGAUUCAUGAUAACUCGUCGAAUCGCACGGCCUUGCGCCGGCGAUGGUUCAUUCAAAUUUCUUCCCUAUCAACUUUCGAUGUUUGGGUAGUGGCCAAACAUGGUGGCAACGGGUAACGGAGGGUUAGGGCUCGACCCCGGAGAAGGAGCCUGAGAAACGGCUACUACAUCCAAGGAAGGCAGCAGGCGCGCAAAUUACCCAAUCCCGAUACGGGGAGGUAGUGACAAUAAAUACUGAUACAGGGCUCUUUUGGGUCUUGUAAUUGGAAUGAGUACAAUUUAAAUCCCUUAACGAGGAACAAUUGGAGGGCAAGUCUGGUGCCAGCAGCCGCGGUAAUUCCAGCUCCAAUAGCGUAUAUUAAAGUUGUUGUGGUUAAAAAGCUCGUAGUUGAAUCUUGGGCCUGGCUGGCCGGUCCGCCUCACCGCGUGUACUGGUCCGGCCGGGUCUUUCACUCUGCGGAACCACAUGCCCUUCAGUGGGUGUGGCGGGGAAGCAGGACGUUUACUUUGAAAAAAUUAGAGUGCUCUAAGCAGGCCAAUGCUCGGAUACAUUAGCAUGGAAUAAUAAAAUAGGACGCGCGGUUCUAUUUUGUUGGUUUCUAGGACCGCCGUAAUGAUGAAUAGGGACAGUCGGGGGCAUCAGUAUUCAGUUGUCAGAGGUGAAAUUCUUGGAUCUACUGAAGACUAACUACUGCGAAAGCAUUUGCCAAGGAUGUUUUCAUUAAUCAGGAACGAAAGUUAGGGGAUCGAAGACGAUCAGAUACCGUCGUAGUCUUAACCAUAAACUAUGCCGACUAGGGAUCGGACGAUGUUAUUUAGUUGACUCGUUCGGCACCUUACGAGAAAUCAAAGUGCUUGG